AAACAAUUUAGAUCAGUCUAGUAAACAGUUCCAACAAAAAGCACAUUUCCAAAAAUGACAUAAACCGGAAAUGCUCAUUAGAGGUGAAAUUGUGAAUCGUGAAAAUUUAACAAUUUGAUGAUCAAAGAAUACUAAUGUAGAAUAGAAGUAUAAGCUAGCAUUAAAAAAAAAAUCACACAAAUAAAACUAAAGAAACGAAACUAUAG
rnacentral:misc_RNA from 1 species